AUUGAACGCUGGCGGCAGGCUUAACACAUGCAAGUCGAACGAUGAUUAUCUAGCUUGCUAGAUAUGAUUAGUGGCGGACGGGUGAGUAACAUUUAGGAAUCUGCCUAGUAGUGGGGGAUAGCUCGGGGAAACUCGAAUUAAUACCGCAUACGACCUACGGGUGAAAGGGGGCGCAAGCUCUUGCUAUUAGAUGAGCCUAAAUCAGAUUAGCUAGUUGGUGGGGUAAAGGCCCACCAAGGCGACGAUCUGUAACUGGUCUGAGAGGAUGAUCAGUCACACCGGAACUGAGACACGGUCCGGACUCCUACGGGAGGCAGCAGUGGGGAAUAUUGGACAAUGGGGGCAACCCUGAUCCAGCCAUGCCGCGUGUGUGAAGAAGGCCUUUUGGUUGUAAAGCACUUUAAGCAGGGAGGAGAGGCUAAUGGUUAAUACCCAUUAGAUUAGACGUUACCUGCAGAAUAAGCACCGGCUAACUCUGUGCCAGCAGCCGCGGUAAUACAGAGGGUGCGAGCGUUAAUCGGAAUUACUGGGCGUAAAGCGAGUGUAGGUGGCUCAUUAAGUCACAUGUGAAAUCCCCGGGCUUAACCUGGGAACUGCAUGUGAUACUGGUGGUGCUAGAAUAUGUGAGAGGGAAGUAGAAUUCCAGGUGUAGCGGUGAAAUGCGUAGAGAUCUGGAGGAAUACCGAUGGCGAAGGCAGCUUCCUGGCAUAAUAUUGACACUGAGAUUCGAAAGCGUGGGUAGCAAACAGGAUUAGAUACCCUGGUAGUCCACGCCGUAAACGAUGUCUACUAGCCGUUGGGGUCCUUGAGACUUUAGUGGCGCAGUCAACGCGAUAAGUAGACCGCCUGGGGAGUACGGCCGCAAGGUUAAAACUCAAAUGAAUUGACGGGGGCCCGCACAAGCGGUGGAGCAUGUGGUUUAAUUCGAUGCAACGCGAAGAACCUUACCUGGUCUUGACAUAGUGAGAAUCCUGCAGAGAUGCGGGAGUGCCUUCGGGAAUUCACAUACAGGUGCUGCAUGGCUGUCGUCAGCUCGUGUCGUGAGAUGUUGGGUUAAGUCCCGCAACGAGCGCAACCCUUUUCCUUAUUUGCCAGCGGGUUAAGCCGGGAACUUUAAGGAUACUGCCAGUGACAAACUGGAGGAAGGCGGGGACGGCGUCAAGUCAUCAUGGCCCUUACGACCAGGGCUACACACGUGCUACAAUGGUAGGUACAGAGGGUUGCUACACAGCGAUGUGAUGCUAAUCUCAAAAAGCCUAUCGUAGUCCGGAUUGGAGUCUGCAACUCGACUCCAUGAAGUCGGAAUCGCUAGUAAUCGCGGAUCAGAAUGCCGCGGUGAAUACGUUCCCGGGCCU
rnacentral:rRNA from 1 species